CGGACGGGUGAGUAAUGUCUGGGAAACUGCCUGAUGGAGGGGGAUAACUACUGGAAACGGUAGCUAAUACCGCAUAACGUCGCAAGACCAAAGAGGGGGACCCUCGGGCCUCUUGCCAUCGGGUGUGCCCAGAUGGGAUUAGCUAGUAGGUGGGGUAACGGCUCACCUAGGCGACGAUCCCUAGCUGGUCUGAGAGGAUGACCAGCCACACUGGAACUGAGACGCGGUCCAGACUCCUACGGGAGGCAGCAGUGGGGAAUAUUGCACAAUGGGCGCAAGCCUGAUGCAGCCAUGCCGCGUGUAUGAAGAAGGCCUUCGGGUUGUAAAGUACUUUCAGCGGGGAGGAAGGGAGUAAAGUUAAUACCUUUGCUCAUUGACGUUACCCGCAGAAGAAGCACCGGCUAACUCCGUGCCAGCAGCCGCGGUAAUACGGAGGGUGCAAGCGUUAAUCGGAGUUACUGGGCGUAAAGCGCACGCAGGCGGUUUGUUAAGUCAGAUGUGAAAUCCCCGGGCUCAACCUGGGAACUGCAUCUGAUACUGGCAAGCUUGAGUCUCGUAGAGGGGGGUAGAAUUCCAGGUGUAGCGGUGAAAUGCGUAGAGAUCUGGAGGAAUACCGGUGGCGAAGGCGGCCCCCUGGACGAAGACUGACGCUCAGGUGCGAAAGCGUGGGGAGCAAACA
rnacentral:rRNA from 1 species